rnacentral:miRNA from 1 species
CAGCAGACACAUUCCAGCCAAUCAGCAGACCCUCCCUCCCAGACCCUCCCACCUCCUGGACAGCUCACUAAGAAUGCAGCUUCACAAUGAAUGUAAAAUGGAUGCUGUCCAGGAGGUGGAAGGGUCUGGGAGGGAGGGUCUGCUGCUGAUUGGCUGGAAUGUGUCUGCUG